rnacentral:tRNA from 1 species
GGAAGGGCCAGCCGAUGGGCGACGGCAGCACGGUGCUAACGUGUCGAGCGAUGAGCCUUGUGGGUUCAACUCCCACCCCUUCCGCCA